AGCAGUAGCCACGGGAAUACGGAGGGUGCAAGCGUUAUCCGGAUUUAUUGGGUUUAAAGGGUCCGUAGGCGGAUCUGUAAGUCAGUGGUGAAAUCUCACAGCUUAACUGUGAAACUGCCAUUGAUACUGCAGGUCUUGAGUAAAUUUGAAGUGGCUGGAAUAAGUAGUGUAGCGGUGAAAUGCAUAGAUAUUACUUAGAACACCAAUUGCGAAGGCAGGUCACUAAGAUUUAACUGACGCUGAUGGACGAAAGCGUGGGGAGCGAACAGGAUUAGAUACCCGCGUAGUCCCUGUCUCUUAUAC
rnacentral:rRNA from 1 species